GAUGAACGCUGGCGGCGUGCCUAAUACAUGCAAGUCGAGCGAAUGGAUUAAGAGCUUGCUCUCAUGAAGUUAGCGGCGGACGGGUGAGUAACACGUGGGUAACCUGCCCAUAAGACUGGGGUAACUCCGGGAAACCGGGGCUAAUACCGGAUAACAUUUUGAACCGCAUGGUUCGAAAUUGAAAGGCGGCUUCGGCUGUCACUUAUGGAUGGACCCGCGUCGCAUUAGCUAGUUGGUGAGGUAACGGCUCACCAAGGCAACGAUGCGUAGCCGACCUGGGAGGGUGAUCGGCCACACUGGGACUGAGACACGGCCCAGACUCCUACGGGAGGCAGCAGUAGGGAAUCUACCGCAAUGGACGAAAGUCUGACGGAGCAACGCCGCGUGAGUGAUGAAGGCUUUCGGGUCGUAAAACUCUGUUGUUAGGGAAGAACAAGUGCUAGUUGAAUAAGCUGGCACCUUGACGGUACCUAACCAGAAAGCCACGGCUAACUACGUGCCAGCAGCCGCGGUAA
rnacentral:rRNA from 1 species